GAUGAACGCUGGCGGCGUGCUUAACACAUGCAAGUCGAACGGGAAACCUUUUAAUGAAGCUUCGGCAGAUUUAGCUGGUUUCUAUUGGCGGACGGGUGAGUAACGCGUGGGUAACCUGCCUUAUACAGGGGGAUAACAGUCAGAAAUGACUGCUAAUACCGCAUAAGCGCACAGGACCGCAUGGUCCGGUGUGAAAAACUCCGGUGGUAUAAGAUGGACCCGCGUUGGAUUAGCUUGUUGGUGGGGUAACGGCUCACCAAGGCGACGAUCCAUAGCCGGCCUGAGAGGGUGAACGGCCACAUUGGGACUGAGACACGGCCCAGACUCCUACGGGAGGCAGCAGUGGGGAAUAUUGCACAAUGGGGGAAACCCUGAUGCAGCGACGCCGCGUGAAGGAAGAAGUAUCUCGGUAUGUAAACUUCUAUCAGCAGGGAAGAUAGUGACGGUACCUGACUAAGAAGCCCCGGCUAACUACGUG
rnacentral:rRNA from 1 species